UCGAGCGAAGCACUCUGCUUUGAUUCUUUCGGGAUGAAGAGCAUUGUGACUGAGCGGCGGACGGGUGAGUAACGCGUGGGUAACCUGCCUCAUACAGGGGGAUAACAGUUAGAAAUGGCUGCUAAUACCGCAUAAGACCACAGCACCGCAUGGUGCACGGGUAAAAACUCCGGUGGUAUGAGAUGGACCCGCGUCUGAUUAGCUAGUUGGUGGGGUAACGGCCUACCAAGGCGACGAUCAGUAGCCGACCUGAGAGGGUGACCGGCCACAUUGGGACUGAGACACGGCCCAAACUCCUACGGGAGGCAGCAGUGGGGAAUAUUGCACAAUGGGGGAAACCCUGAUGCAGCGACGCCGCGUGAGCGAAGAAGUAUUUCGGUAUGUAAAGCUCUAUCAGCAGGGAAGAAAAUGACGGUACCUGACUAAGAAGCCCCGGCUAACUACGUGCCAGCAGCCGCGGUAAUACGUACGGGGCAAGCGUUAUCCGGAUUUACUGGGUGUAAAGGGAGCGUAGACGGCGAGGCAAGUCUGAUGUGAAAACCCGGGGCUCAACC
rnacentral:rRNA from 1 species